rnacentral:rRNA from 1 species
AUUGAACGCUGGCGGCAUGCCUUACACAUGCAAGCCGAACGGCAGCACGGGAGCAAUCCUGGUGGCGAGUGGCGAACGGGUGAGUAAUAUAUCGGAACGUGCCCAGUCGUGGGGGAUAACGCAGCGAAAGCUGUGCUAAUACCGCAUACGAUCUACGGAUGAAAGCGGGGGAUCGCAAGACCUCGCGCGAUUGGAGCGGCCGAUAUCAGAUUAGCUAGUUGGUGGGGUAAAGGCCCACCAAGGCGACGAUCUGUAGCUGGUCUGAGAGGACGACCAGCCACACUGGAACUGAGACACGGUCCAGACUCCUACGGGAGGCAGCAGUGGGGAAUUUUGGACAAUGGGCGAAAGCCUGAUCCAGUAAUGCCGCGUGCAGGACGAAGGCCUUCGGGUUGUAAACUGCUUUUGUACGGAACGAAACGGUCUCUUCUAAUAAAGGGGGCUAAUGACGGUACCGUAAGAAUAAGCACCGGCUAACUACGUGCCAGCCGCCGCGGUAA